GUCAGGAAUGUAAUGAUGUGGUUUGCCUUUGUCCUCACCCAAAUUUCAUCUUGAUUUAUAGUUCCCAUAAUCCCUACAUGUCACAGGAGGGACUAGGUGGGAGGUAAUUGAAUCAUGGGGGCAGUCUCCCCCAUGCUGUUCUCAUGAUGGUGAGUGAGUUCUCAUGAUAUCUGAUGGUUUUAUGUGUCUGGCAUUUCCCCUGCUGACUCUCAUUCUCUCUCUUGCCACCCUCUGAAGAGAUGCCUUCUGCCAUGAUUAUAAGUUUCCUGAGGCCUCCCCAGCCAUGCAGAACUUCCAGUGAUUCAAGUUUGACACACCACACCACGGUGGAUGUGCCUUGUCAUGACACAUCUCAGCAGCACUAGAAGAUACAUCCAAAGUCCUGUGAGCAAGGUCUGUGGUAUCUGUUUAUUAUGGCAGCCCAGUAAGACUAAGACAGGCCAUCACAAGACGUGAACGUUUUGGACCUUCUCUUGGGCCCUAGUAAACAGAAAUCAGGCUAUUUAUUAAACUAAUCCACGUUCUGAACAGUUAUUGCUACUGGAAACCAGUCCCGAUCCAGACCACAAAAGACGAUUCUUGGAUCUUGCACAAGAAAGAAAGGGAAGAUCUGGCAAGAGUUAGCGUGCAGUUCUACAUUGUGACAAUUCAUGAGAGCUAAGGACUGGCUGUCUCUUGGGACAAAUAGGCUUUCUUGAGUCUGCAUGAGGCCCUCACCAGAUACAGCCACCUGAUCUUGGACUUCACAGCCUCCAGAAAUAUGCCCUGGAAUACACUUGUGUCAGUGACAAAUGCUGCUUUGCUGUGCUACAUCGAGUACAAGUCCAGUGAUUCAAGUUUGACACACCACACCACGGUGGAUGUGCCUUGUCAUGACACAUCUUCUCAGCAGCACUAGAAGAUACAUCCAAAGUCCUGUGAGCAAGGACACAGCGAGAAGAUGGCUGUCUACAAGCCAGGAAGAGAGUCCUCACCAGAACCAAACCCUGCUGGACUUUGAUCUUGGACUUCCCAGCCUCUAAAACUGUGAAGACAUAAAUUUCUGUUGUUAAACCCACACAGGUCUGUGGUAUCUGUUUAUUAUGGCAGCCCAGUAAGACUAAGACAGGCCAUCACAAGACAUGAAUGUUUUGGACCUUCUCUUGGGCCCUAGUAAACAGAAAUCAGGUACGCAAAAGGGGUAAGCAUAUAAUUUCCUUUAUUUUUAUUUUUAAUGUGUAAGCCUUAGGUUUUUAUUUAUUUAUUUGGUGAAGACAAUCACAUUGUGUACGUACAAUGUAAUUAUAUUGUUGACGAGAAGUUACUUAAAAUUUUUUAAAAAUUCUAAUCGAUUUCUAGAUGUCCAAAUGAGAAGAUAGCAUUUAUAUACCAUCAGAACAUAAAAUAAUUCAAAAAAAUAAAUUUAUAAAACAAUAUGUAUUAUAUUGAGAGAAAGAGAGGGAGAGAGUAUUGGAAGAAUAUAUGCAAAUACAAUGUGAUAAUGUGAUGUCUUUGUGAGAAUGCUAUAUGUCAUUUUCUUUGUUUAUAUGAAUUUUUACAAUUUUUACCUUUGAAAUAUAAAAAAGAGAGAAUAAAAGUCAUUGAAAAAAUCAAAAGUAACUAUUUUCAUAGGUGAGUAAGUAUACAUCUUUAACAGAAC
rnacentral:lncRNA from 10 species